rnacentral:rRNA from 1 species
GACGAACGCUGGCGGCGUGCCUAAUACAUGCAAGUUGAGCGCUGAAGGUUGGUACUUGUACCAACUGGAUGAGCAGCAAACGGGUGAGUAACGCGUGGGGAAUCUGCCUUUGAGCGGGGGACAACAUUUGGAAACGAAUGCUAAUACCGCAUAAAAACUUUAAACACAAGUUUUAAGUUUGAAAGAUGCAAUUGCAUCACUCAAAGAUGAUCCCGCGUUGUAUUAGCUAGUUGGUGAGGUAAAGGCUCACCAAGGCGAUGAUACAUAGCCGACCUGAGAGGGUGAUCGGCCACAUUGGGACUGAGACACGGCCCAAACUCCUAAGGGAGGCAGCAGUAGGGAAUCUUCGGCAAUGGACGAAAGUCUGACCGAGCAACGCCGCGGGAGUGAAGAAGGGUUUCGGAUCGUAAAACUCUGUUGGUAGAGAAGAACGUUGGUGAGAGUGGAAAGCUCAUCAAGUGACGGUAACUACCCAGAAAGGGACGGCUAACUACGUG